rnacentral:rRNA from 1 species
CACAGCGAANGGUGCUUGCACCUUUCAAGUGAGUGGCNANNGGNUGAGUAACACGUGGACAACCUGCCUCAAGGCUGGGGAUAACAUUUGGAAACAGAUGCUAAUACCGAAUAAAACUUAGUGUCGCAUGACACAAAGUUAAAAGGCGCUUCGGCGUCACCUAGAGAUGGAUCCGCGGUGCAUUAGUUAGUUGGUGGGGUAAAGGCCUACCAAGACAAUGAUGCAUAGCCGAGUUGAGAGACUGAUCGGCCACAUUGGGACUGAGACACGGCCCAAACUCCUACGGGAGGCUGCAGUAGGGAAUCUUCCACAAUGGGCGAAAGCCUGAUGGAGCAACGCCGCGUGUGUGAUGAAGGCUUUCGGGUCGUAAAGCACUGUUGUAUGGGAAGAACAGCUAGAAUAGGAAAUGAUUUUAGUUUGACGGUACC